GUGCCCACUUUAACAGCAUAUAUGUAAAAUGGGAAUGGUGCAGAGAUGAGCAUGGCCCCAUGCAAGGAUGACACCCCAAAUUCAUGAAGCCUUCCAUGUUUUU